rnacentral:tRNA from 2 species
GACUCCGUGUCGUAAUGGUAGCGCGUCUGACUACAGAUCAGAAGGUUGCGUGUUCAAAUCACGUCGGGGUCA